AUGUAGCUACUUCAGACCAACCCAUUUUAGAUUUGCAUCGGGCGCAAGAGUCAUUUAUCCCGCCGGUAUAAUAGCAGCACCGCCCAAG